GUUAGAUUUUUAUGCCCCCGCCAUGUAAUGGCCGGGGCAUAUAGUGUUACCCUGUUCCGUCCUUCCGUCAUUCCGUCCUUCCGUCCUUCCGUCAUUCCGUCCUUCCGUCAUUCUGUCAUUCCGUCAUCAUCAGUUUCCGUUCAUUAUCUUAGUAACGGUUGCACAUAUUCAACUCAAAUUUGGCAUAUGGAUAUGUCAUGAGAAAAUACAGGUCAAGUUCGAAUUUGGUCAUGGUUCGAUGAUUUUUGGCAGAGUUAUGCCCCUUUUACUUUGAAAAUAAUAUGAAAUUUUCAGUUUCCGUUCAUUAUCUCCCCAACGGUACAACACAUUCAAAUCAAAUUUGACAUAUGGAUAUGUCAUGAGAAAAUACAGGUCAAGUUCGAAUUUGGUCAUGGUUCGAUGAUUUUUGGCAGAGUUAUGCCCCUUUACUUUGAAAAUAAUAUGAAAUUUUCAGUUUCCGUUCAUUAUCUCCCCAACGGUACAACACAUUCAACUCAAAUUUGACAUAUGGAUAUGUCAUGAGAAAAUACAGGUCAAGUUCGAAUAUGGUCAUGGUUCGAUGAUUUUUGGCAGAGUUAUGCCCCUUUUACUUUGAAAAUAAUAUGAAAUUUUCAGUUUCCGUUCAUUAUCUCCCCAACGGUACAACACA